GCUAUCGUGGUGUAGUGGUCAGCACGCUCGACGCGUAACCGAGAGGUCCGUGGUUCGAUUCCCGGCGAAGGCG
rnacentral:tRNA from 1 species